UAGGGAAUCUUCCACAAUGGACGCAAGUCUGAUGGAGCAACGCCGCGUGAGUGAAGAAGGUUUUCGGAUCGUAAAGCUCUGUUGUUGGUGAAGAAGGAUAGAGGCAGUAACUGGUCUUUAUUUGACGGUAAUCAACCAGAAAGUCACGGCUAACUACGUGCCAGCAGCCGCGGUAAUACGUAGGUGGCAAGCGUUGUCCGGAUUAUUGGGCGUAAAGCGAGCGCAGGCGGAAUGAUAAGCCUGAUGUGAAAGCCCACGGCUCAACCGUGGAACUGCAUCGGAAACUGUCAUUCUUGAGUGCAGAAGAGUAGAGUGGAAUUCCAUGUGUAGCGGUGGAAUGCGUAGAUAUAUGGAAGAACACCAGUGGCGAAGGCGGCUCUCUGGUCUGCAACUGACGCUGAGGCUCGAAAGCAUGGGUAGCGAACAGG
rnacentral:rRNA from 1 species